GACGAACGCUGGCGGCGUGCUUAACACAUGCAAGUCGAACGGAAAGGCCCUGCUUUUGUGGGGUGCUCGAGUGGCGAACGGGUGAGUAACACGUGAGUAACCUGCCCUUGACUUUGGGAUAACUUCAGGAAACUGGGGCUAAUACCGGAUAGGAGCUCCUGCUGCAUGGUGGGGGUUGGAAAGUUUCGGCGGUUGGGGAUGGACUCGCGGCUUAUCAGCUUGUUGGUGGGGUAGUGGCUUACCAAGGCUUUGACGGGUAGCCGGCCUGAGAGGGUGACCGGCGUCCAUGGGACUGCGAGACGGACCAGAGUCCAACAGGGGACAGCGGUGGGAAGUAUGGUACAGUGGGAGGACGCGUGAUGCAGCGGCGCCGCGUGCGGGAAGACGGCCUGCGGGUUAAGAACAGCUUUCGCCUAUGACGAAGCGUGAGUGACGGUAAUGGAUAAAGAAGCACCGGCUAACUACGUG
rnacentral:rRNA from 1 species